rfam:Euryarchaeota archaeon 55_53 PW_scaffold_0, whole genome shotgun sequence.
CUGACGGCAGCGCAUGGGUCGAACUCGGACUCGAGAGCCCAGCUCCACUCAGAAACCCGAAAGGUGUGAAGGUGGGGCAGCGCAUAGACGUCAG